GCUCUCUAACCUGUGUUAUCAAUAUCAACAAGCUUCCCCUCAAAAAAAAAAAAAAUCAAUCUACAAGUGAAGUAAACAGAGGCCUUAUGAUACUUGUAUAAUGUACAGUCACUGUUCAAUUUGGGUUCUACACAAAUAACCCAUGUUUACUUCCAUGCUCUACACAAAACUAAGGAGAACAGACAGCAUAACUCGCUUAAACAGACGUUUCUUCUUCUUCUUUUUGUUCUGAAAAUUGCUAGCAGUUCUGUAAACAUUAGAGUAACACAAUUGUGCAGCUUUGGCAUGUGAACAAUUCCAUGCUUCA
rnacentral:misc_RNA from 1 species